rnacentral:rRNA from 1 species
AUUGAACGCUGGCGGCAUGCCUAACACCUGCAAGUCGAGCUGAGCGGCGGACGGGUGAGUAAUGUAUGGGGAUUUUCCUGAUGGAGGGGGAUAUCUACUGGAAACGGUAGUUAAUACCGCAUAUCAUAAGAUGAACCCAUAUGGGAUUAGCUUGUGGGUGAGGUAACGGCUCACCUAGGCGACGAUCCCUAGCUGGUCUGAGAGUAUGAUCAGCCACACUGGGACUGAGACACGGCCCAGACUCCUACGGGAGGCAGCAGUGGGGAAUAUUGGACAAUGGGCGAAAGCCUGAUCCAGCCAUGCCGCGUGUGUGAAGAAGGUCUUCGGAUUGUAAAGCACUUUAAGUUGGGAGGCGUUACCAACAGAAUAAGCACCGGCUAACUUCGUGCCAGCAGCCGCGGUAAUUC